AUCUUAAGAUUGUUAGAAAUCUUAAGACAUAUUUCAAAUACUUUUGAGCAAGAAUCUGAAGUUUCAGUAGAUUCAUCUACAUUUUUUUUAAAUAUAUAUAUAUAAGCUUUACAGUUAAUAUUGAACAGUCGGGUUCGAUAUACAUUUUAUAUUGAACAUUCGACCUCCGUGCGCGUCAACCUGUUCCGGUCCUUUUUCGUUCAUUCGCCAAGCAUGGAUAAGCUACAACCAGUGAAGCUGGCAAAAGUAUGUGAGAUUUUCCUUUGGUUGGGAAUGAAAUGGGUUAAAAAGUUCAGAUGUGAUAGAUUUUCAUGCGGCUGAAAAGUGCCCUAUGUUUAUAAAUGAAAGCGAUUAUUAUUAUUGACCAUAAAAUGAACACAUUGAGGCGGAAGAGGGGGGGGGGGGGGGGUAGUUAAUUGGUUAAAAUAUCUAAGCGUCGUGGUCGCUGACUAGGUCUAGAUUAAGAAAUUUAUGUUAUCAUGUAGAUUUACAUUAGAAUACAAUAUUAGGGAGACCAUCUCCCCGAAUUGCGAUGAAAAAGACCCCUUCCCAAUUGUAGAAUUUACUCCUGAGUCCUUACAACUUAUGCAACAUUUCUUGACUUGUAAAUUUUAUAGAAACAAUUCGUGUCAUGCUGAGUAUGUGUCACACUUAUUCAGCAUGGCAAAUUCCAUGCAAUGCUGAAUAAGGGUGACACGAAUUGUUUCUAUGUAUACACACUACAGUCAAGAAAUUUCAUAUCAGUGUUGUUUCAUAAGAGGAAAAGAGGUUGAAACCCAAUGCACAUCCUGAGUGUUUUUGAUUUUAUUAAUAUAUUUGCAGAAAUAUCGGACAUUUUAGCACCUGUUUUCUUUUCUCUUGAAACACAAAGAGAUGUAAUCCACAAGUAUUUUUCUCGGUUGUACGGGAUAUAUUUACUCUCGUUAUAGAGGGAUAAUUUCGUUUUUGCAAGAAUAUCUCGCUAUAGGGGAAGUAUUCCUAACCUGUUCAAAGAUCAUUUUGAUAUGAUCUAAUCUACACCUGUCCAGUAGAGAUUAAUUAAUGAGUGUAAUCUUUUCAUUUGAAUGAGGUAAACUUUGAUCAAAUUGAAAGUUAGAAGGAGUCCAAUUAUUCCUUAAUGCACUCUGGAUUGGUUUUCUCCCUAUUUCUUUGUAUGAAAUAUUUUUCAAGCAAAUGUCGCUAUUUUUCCCAAUUGGAAAGGCCCAGGCCCUUGAAAUCAAGACCUUAAGGUGGGUCCUUAGUCCUGGAUUUUUGGGGUUUAGGUAGCAUUUUUUUUGUUUGGAAUCAAUAAAUUAACAUUCAGAGUAAUGAAAAAAGGCAAAACAUCCAUAUUAAUUUUCAUUACAUACACCACUAAAGUCAUGUACUCCGAUCUAGAUUUUUAUGAAAUUCAUUGGAGACAGUUAUUUGUUGUUAUAUUUUAAUAUAAAAACAACAAAAUAUUUUUUGAAUUGCAUUUAUUUAAAUGGAAAACAUGUCAAUAACUAAAACACAUGUCAUUUUCAAUAUGUUUAUCAAGUUUUAGAAUAAUAUGUGCAAAAUUAUUGAAUUAGCGUUAUUCUCCAAAAUGUUAAAAAACAAACAAAUGUGGACGCAUUUUCCUUAUAGCAUGGUUUACAUAUCAUUUUUUCUGUUUAUAUUAGUAGAGUUACAUCUGUUAUAAUUAUUUAUGGAAAAAAAUCCAUACCUUUCCUUAAUUAUUUCAAAUCUAUAGCUUCCUGAUUAUGUAUACCCCCAUAAAAAACUGAAGCCUAGCACCAUACAGCUGAGCUAUUUAAAAUCACUCGGGAUUAAAAUUUAUGUCAUUUCAUGAAAAGACACAGAUAAUGAUUCCUUAUCACCUUGGUAAAAUGUUUGUCAAAAAUAAAGGAAAUCUAUCGCAUUAUUGACUUGAUAAAUAAUUUAUUGAAAACAGAGUUAUUGUCCUUGGAUUCAAUAUUUUGAAACAUAUUGACAAUUCAAAUAUAACUAAGACUUUUGAAAUAUUUUAUGGCUAACAAUAUUUUUUACAAUAACUAUUGAAAAAGACUCCAACAAAAUUUAUGUACCUGUCAUUAAAUCAUUGAUUUUGCAAAAUCCUAUGAUGUCACAGGAGUGUGGAACUACGUUAAAAAAAGCUGGAUUCAUACCAUGUGAAAGAAAUUGUCUAAAUAUAUGUAAUAAAUGUUUUGGAAUACUCGUUAAUUGAACAAUUCAAGAGAUAUAUUGACAACUCAAUUGCAAUGUGCAAUAGAUACAUUACAAGUUUAUCCCAAACCUAAAAGGAAAGAUAUUGGUGCAAUUUUUUCACCAAUUAACUGAUUGGGAUAAGCAAAUACCAGCUAGUGUCAAUGUGACAUUUCUAAAAUGAAUGCGCGAUAUUGAAAUUUUUAUGGGCAGGCAGUAAAUCUAAUACUCCCUAUGAUCUUGGAUUGCAAUGUUUUAUAGAUAAGGCCAAUUCAACUUGAUUAGUAGAUUACCAUCCAGGGUCACCAAAAACUAUGGGGCUGGUGGGAGGAUUUUAAGUUUUAUUUUCUGAGAAAAAUAUUAAGGACAAACGAGUUUUUGUCAACAGAAGUGCAUCAUUUAAUGUCAGAUGGAUAUCAAUCUAUGCUUAUUUCACAGACGAAUUCAAGGUUAAGCUUUACUUUCAAACAUAAAAACAUGCAAAACUUCUUCAAGGUAUGAAGAACAUUGACCCUUUCUUUUCAUUUAUGUCCGUAAGAACGUUAGAAAUUAAGAAAACCAUAUCUAUUUUCUUCAUGCUGCUCUACUGGAAAUGUAAACAAGAAGUUAAAUACCGAAUUUGAAAAUGAAAA